AUUGAACGCUGGCGGCAGGCCUAACACAUGCAAGUCGAGCGGAUGAAGGGAGCUUGCUCCUGGAUUCAGCGGCGGACGGGUGAGUAAUGCCUAGGAAUCUGCCUGGUAGUGGGGGAUAACGUCCGGAAACGGGCGCUAAUACCGCAUACGUCCUGAGGGAGAAAGUGGGGGAUCUUCGGACCUCACGCUAUCAGAUGAGCCUAGGUCGGAUUAGCUAGUUGGUGGGGUAAAGGCCUACCAAGGCGACGAUCCGUAACUGAUCUGAGAGGAUGAUCAGUCACACUGGAACUGAGACACGGUCCAGACUCCUACGGGAGGCAGCAGUGGGGAAUAUUGGACAAUGGGCGAAAGCCUGAUCCAGCCAUGCCGCGUGUGUGAAGAAGGUCUUCGGAUUGUAAAGCACUUUAGUUGGGAGGAAGGGCAGUAAGUUAAUACCUUGCUGUUUUGACGUUACCAACAGAAUAAGCACCGGCUAACUUCGUG
rnacentral:rRNA from 1 species